rnacentral:rRNA from 1 species
CCUACGGGAGGCAGCAGUGAGGAAUAUUGGUCAAUGGACGAGAGUCUGAACCAGCCAAGUAGCGUGAAGGAUGACUGCCCUAUGGGUUGUAAACUUCUUUUAUAAAGGAAUAAAACGAGGCACGUGUGCCUUUUUGCAUGUACUUUAUGAAUAAGGAUCGGCUAACUCCGGGCCAGCAGCCGCGGUACUACGGAGGAUCCGAGCGUUAUCCGGAUGUAUUGGGUUUAAAGGGAGCGUAGAUGGGUUGUUAAGUCAGUUGUGAAAGUUUGCGGCUCAACCGUAAAAUUGCAAUUGAUACUGGCAGUCUUGAGUACAGUUGAGGUAGGCGGAAUUCGUGGUGUAGCGGUGAAAUGCUUAGAGAUCACGAAGAACCCCGAUGGCGAAGGCAGCUUACUAAACUGUGACUGACAUUGAUGCGCGAAAGUGUGGGGAUCAAACAGGAUUAGAUACCCCGGUAGUC